GAUGAACGCUAGCUACAGGCUUAACACAUGCAAGUCGAGGGGAAACGACAUCGAAAGCUUGCUUUUGAUGGGCGUCGACCGGCGCACGGGUGAGUAACGCGUAUCCAACCUGCCCAUCACUUGGGGAUAACCUUGCGAAAGUAAGACUAAUACCCAAUGAUAUCUCUAGAAGACAUCUGAAAGAGAUUAAAGAUUUAUCGGUGAUGGAUGGGGAUGCGUCUGAUUAGCUUGUUGGCGGGGUAACGGCCCACCAAGGCAACGAUCAGUAGGGGUUCUGAGAGGAAGGUCCCCCACAUGGGAACUGAGACACGGUCCAAACUCCUACGGGAGGCAGCAGUGAGGAAUAUUGGUCAAUGGGCGAGAGCCUGAACCAGCCAAGUAGCGUGCAGGAAGACGGCCCUAUGGGUUGUAAACUGCUUUUAUAAGGGAAUAAAGUGAGAGUCGUGACUCUUUUUGUAUGUACCUUAUGAAUAAGGACCGGCUAAUUCCGUG
rnacentral:rRNA from 1 species